AUUGAACGCUGGCGGCAGGCCUAACACAUGCAAGUCGAGCGGAUGAAGGGAGCUUGCUCCUGGAUUCAGCGGCGGACGGGUGAGUAAUGCCUAUGAAUCUGCCUGUUAGUGGGGGAUAACGUCCUUAAACGGUCGCUAAUACCGCAUACGUCCUGAUGGAGAACGUGGGGGAUCUUCGGACCUCACGCUAUCAGAUGAGCCUAGGUCGGAUUAGCUAGUUGUUGGGGUAAAGGCCUACCAAGGCGACGAUCCGUAACUGGUCUGAGAGGAUGAUCAGUCACAAGGGAACUGAGACAAGGUCCAGACUCCUACGGGAGGCAGCAGUGGGGAAUAUUGGACAAUGGGCGAAAGCCUGAUCCAGCCAUGCCGCGGGUGUGAAGAAGGUCUUCGGAUUGUAAAGCACUUUAAGUUGGGAGGAAGGGCAGUAAGUUAAUACCUUGCUGUUUUGACGUUACCAACAGAAUAAGCACCGGCUAACUUCGUG
rnacentral:rRNA from 1 species